rnacentral:lncRNA from 1 species
UAGGGCUCAGGCUGUGAGAAACAUCCUGCCGGGCAAGUCCUAAGCCCAACCGCCUGAUCUCAGGAAAUUCCUCACUUAGCAACAGCUAACCACCCUGCCCACCCCACUUCACAACAAGCCCAGAUCUCUCCCACCCGGACCUAAACUUACCCAGUCUGUAAGCGGGGGCGGGCUCUGGCCUUAGUUGGUGUCCCCCUCCGCGGGUGUUUGUUCGGUAAACCUGUGUUGCUGUAGAGCCGCCUCCGUCCGUUUUUCCUCCCGUUCCUGCGCUAACAAUGACAUUAUACCAAAUGUAACUGAUAUACUAAUACAUGCUGCUGUAAUAAGGAGUCCUCAUUUAAGUUACUGUGUCCAAAAUGAGUUUCCAGUGGUCCUCCAUCUUGAUACAUGCUCCAGUAUCACUUAUACAGAAAGGGUGGACAUGGACACAAGGGUUCAUGGGUGGUUAGCCUCAAAGACAAAUAUUAGUGAUGAACAUCAUGCUGUACUCAGAAUUGCUUCUCUUGACUGAUAAUGAAAGCUUUUUCACUAAGCCACGCUUGACUGCCUGACUCUUCCAUUAUGAUGAGCCCUCUCCCAGGAUGCUCCUCAGGGGUUUAUUACAGUUGACUUCUGGAUCAGGCUGCCAGACAUAUAGAGACACGUCUGAAUUCCACGUAUGAACAGAGCAUAGACUAAAGCUGUAACACCUUAUCGUCUCCCAGGCUGCUUCCAAGCUUCUGAAAACUGGUUUUGCCCCUAAAACCUUAAUACAUUGUAAAAUCAACCCUGUUAUGUUUGAAUCAUAGCAUUUUAGAAAAAUGAAAUAGUGAUUUUGAUGCUACUGCUUGAUAAUACAGAAAAGUAAAUGUCUAUGCAAGGACAUGAAGUACUUAUAUUUUUAAACUUUAAAAAGGGAAGUAACCAGACAUUGGGCUUCCUUGUCAUUUAAAGCAGCAGCCCCCAACCUUUUUGGCACCAGGGACCAGUUUCAUAGAAGACAAUUUUUCCAGGGACCCGGUGUGGGGAGAUGGUUUCCAGAUGAUUCAAGCACAUUACAUUUAUUGUAUACUGUAUUUCUAUUAUUAUUACUAUAAUUAUACAACUCAAUAUAAUUCAGAGUCGUUGGGUACCCUGAGCUUGUUUUCCUGCAACUAGAUGCUCCCAUCUGGGGUUGAUGGGACAGAGUGACAGAUCAUCAGGUAUUAGAUUGUCAUAAGGAGUGCAUGACAUAGAUCCCUCGCAUGUGCAGUUCACAAUAGAGUUUGCACUCCUGUGAGAAUCCAAUGCUGCAGUUGAUCUGAUGGGAGCUGGAGCUCAGGCAGUAAUGUGUGCGAUGAGGAGGGGCUGUGAAUACAGAUGAAGCUUCUCUGGCUUGCCUGCUGUUCACUGCUUGCUGUGUGGCUUGGUUCCUAACGGGCCAUGGACUAGUACUGGUCUGUGGCCCAGGGGCUGUGGACCCCUGAUUUUAAGAAGUAAGAUAGCAACAAAAAUAAGGAUUUGUUAAUUCAACAACGUUGUGAAGGUUUAGGAAUUUCUUUUAAUUUCACAGUGUUUAUUUUUUGCCUGUAUUUUCUAAUUACCUGUUAUAUUUA